UAGUAAACAUUAUUGAUAGAAAUAUUGAAUACUUCUACUUGUAUUCAUUAAGCUCAAGAGCAAAAGGGAGCUAAAUCCGAUAAAGGGAAGGAAAAAGUAGUCGAAUAGCCAUCGGAAUCGUUCGACAACAUCCGAGCGAUCGGAUUCGGGAUCAUAGAAGUUGAAGUCAACCACACUAUCAAAGCCCUUUUUGGUACUCCUUUAGUUGAGUUCGGAUAUGGCAUGUAUAGGACUACCCUCGGUUAUUUUUAAGUACUUGUGAUGUAUAUGUAUGCGGCCAUGCGAAAAUGGUUCGUAAUAGUGGAGUAUGGAAUUAGACCAUUUGUGGUUUGUAAUUAUAUAUGGUUUCAUGAUGUGAUUAUGGAUUGGAAUGGGAGUGUUGGUCACAUGAUCAGCCAUUGGAAUGGCUAAA